UUUCUUAAAAAACUACAAAUAGAACUACCAUAUGACCCAGCAAUCCCACUACUGGGCAUAUACCGUGAGAAAACCAAAAUUCAAAAAGAGUCAUGUACCAAAAUGUUCAUUGCAGCUCUAUUUACAAUAGCCCGGAGAUGGAAACAACCUAAGUGUCCAUCAUCGGAUGAAUGGAUAAAGAAGAUGUGGCACAUAUAUACAAUGGAAUAUUACUCAGCCAUAAAAAGAGACGAAAUUGAGCUAUUUGUAAUGAGGUGGAUAGACCUAGAGUCUGUCAUACAGAGUGAAGUAAGUCAGAAAGAAAGACAAAUACCAUAUGCUAACAGAUAUAAGGAAUUUAAGAAAAAAAAAUGUCACGAAGAACCUAGGGGUAAGACAGGAAUAAAGACACAGACCUACUGGAGAACGGACUUGAGGAUAUGGGGAGGGGGAAGGGUGAGCUGUGACAAAGCGAGAGAGAGGCAUGGACAUAUAUACACUAACAAACGUAAGGCAGAUAGCUAGUGGGAAGCAGCCGCAUAGCACAGGGAGAUCAGCUCGGUGCUUUGUGACCGCCUGGAGGGGUGGGAUAGGGAGGGUGGGAGGGAGGGAGACGCAAGCGGGAAGAGAUAUGGGAAUAUAUGUAUAUAUAUAACUGA